AGGAAACAGGACUUUUAUUUUGAAAAAGUCAAAGUGCUCCAGGCAAACCGAUGCUUAAAUACAUUAGCAGGGAAUAAUAGAAUAGGACGUGUGGCUCUAUUUUGUUGGUUUCUAAGACCGCCGUAAUGAUUAAUGAGGACAUGUAAGAAUACCCUACU
rnacentral:rRNA from 1 species